rnacentral:lncRNA from 1 species
UUCGCGCUCUUUGUUUGCUUCUGGCUUCUCUCUCUCUCGCUUUCUGAAUUGCCGUUUCAGUUUCUUUCUGAGCGUACGUGUAAAUGCUCUUUGUUUCAUUUUGCUUCUCUCUCUCUCACGCUCCGAUCAGUUUCUUCUCCGAAGAGGUUUUGCAUUUUCUCUGGUAAAGAUCAAAAUUCUCAUCCUCAACCUCUGUAUGUUACUUUAUUUACUUAUUUGGAUACCAUAGAAGAUUCUUUCUUCGAUCUUGUCCCGUUUCUUGGUUCUUUAGAAAUGUUCACGAAUUGAGUUUCUUGUGAUUUGAUGUUAUUCCGAAUUGUUCUGUUAUAGUGUUAUCUGAUGGGUUUCAUUGCGAUUUUGGCCAAUGAAGGCAUUUUGAUGUUGUUGUUGCGAUGGAUCCUAGUUUUUUUGUGAAUCAAACGCACUAAUUGUUACAGAUUUUUGUUUUUGUUUGCUUCGAUCAUCUGUAUUUGCGUUUCUUUAAAAUUUCUUUCGAUUUCGUUUAAGUAUUGGUAAUGCUGCUGUGUCUUUAUGCCUCAUGUAUGAUGUUGUUGCUCCCGCUUAAUGAUGUUGUGUUUCACAGUCUACGUUUGUAUAUCGAGUUUUACUGAUUCUGUGAAAGUUCGAGAAUUCAUCUUCAUCUGUUUCAGUUUCAGUCUUUAGUUUCUUAAUUCUAUAAGUUAUUUCCUCAAAUAAGUUUUGGUAAAACAUUUAAUGACAGUGGGUGAUGCAGGCUAGAUUUCGUAUCUAUCUCUGAGUACAAGUUAUGAUUUGGAUCAUUAUGGUAUGCAUCUCCUCUAAAAUUGAUUUUAUAACUUGUCUUAUCCUGCAGAUAUAAUCACACAAUGGCAGAUGAACGUGAUAAGAUGGAUAGGAACAUACUGAUAAACUCCAGCAUCUAUGGAGUAGUAUCUGUGAUUACUCUUCUGGCGGUUAUGGAUGGCAUCGCAGCAAGGCAAAGGCUGAUGGCAACAUACCUCUUUGCUUCCGCUGUCCUAACUUCUGGGAUCUCCACUUUCAUAGGGAGCAACAUAAGAAGGAGAUCAAUGAAGCGAUCUGCCAUUGACGCUGCAUUGGGCGGGCUCUGUUUUCUGUUAGGUGGAAUCAUUCCCUUUGCAAUUGGUAUCUCCAUUCCAAACAGGAUUGAACGAGACCUUGCUCUUUUUCUUCUAUCGGUUACCAUCAUUGCUUUGAUACUCUUGAUCGACUUCUCCAUGAAGAAGGACGACCAGCAACAACCACAGGCAAGGACUUACUGGAUUCUAGGAGCCUCCAUUGUCAUCUCCACUGCAGCUAUUGUGUUUUUUGCUGACCAGGCAAACCGAUUGCGGUCUGCAAACAAAAUGCCCUAGUACAGCUUUUCCUGCUGAAGGCCAAACCCAAUCAAGACUUGAAGUCCAUGUCCAAGCUCUGCAGGAUUUAGCAAAUGGAUGAUGUGUUCUACUGUUCUCUUGCUUCAUCACUGUUUUCUUUCAUUAGUCUUACAACUCUCUGAUUCGUUCUAGUUUAGAGAAUAUAUUGUGGGUAUAAUAUAGUGCUGUGUUUUGUAAAUCCAGAAGUUGAGCUUUGUUUUCUAUGACAAUGAUAUGGUUUAACUCUGAACCCUUUUUGGUGAUUUGUGAUAUAGCGUGUGCCGUGUGAUGUGUGAAACUGUGAAUACAUAAAAGUACAUUAAUGUGUACACAGGCUAAUGCCGUCUCUAUCAUUAUUUUAAAUGUGUUACUCCUUGUGUAAAAUUGUGCAAGCUCAUUAAGCUGGAGACAAACCUUAAAACCAACAUAAUUAAAGUCAAACCGAUCGGUUCAAGUUUACACGGAUACCAAAACAGAGAAAUUCAUAAGGGCAGCACGAUUUAACCAACCCAAACCGCAAUUUUAAUCCGGUUGGGGUAUACGUGUUUUAGCCGAGUAAAUUGGUCUAACAGAGAGAAUCUAUCUAGGGUAUUUGCUGUUACCCUAGCUAAUAUAAAUAAAUUCAGGCAGUGAAUUUUUCUUUUAUAAUAUUCCACUGUUAUUGAGCAUAUCCAGACAUUAGUUCUGAAUUAAUAUCACCACUAUCGUUUAUAUUUUGUAGGAAUUAAAGAGACGAUCAUGAUCACAGUGUACAACCUCGUGAUGAUUUACAUGUGUUUCGGUGAAGCCCUCUUCGUUUUCUACAUCAUCGUUUAUUUGCACUAUCACAAAAAAGACAAAGAAGAAGAAGAAGAAGAAGAAGAAGAAGAAGAUUAUGACAUCGAACUUGGAGAUGAAGAUGUUGUUCAUUGUUGCCGCCUCUGCCACGAAGAUGUCAGAGAUUUCUCCAAUAUUCUACGUCUAUCAACGUGCCACAGGAUUCGAUCCAAAUUCACCCAACUCAAAAAAGAUUGACAUACAACAAAAGAAACAGCCUUUUUUUUCUUUUCUUCAUAUGGUUAGGAGUUACAACAUAUAAUGUAUUGUGAUUAUCUAAUUAUUAUUUUGUUUGAGUAACUAAUUAGUUUUUGAGGAA